rnacentral:misc_RNA from 1 species
GAUGAAGAACGUAGUGAAAUGCGAUAAGUGAUGUGAAUUGCAGAAUUCAGUGAAUCAUCGAAUCUUUGAACGCACAUUGCGCCCGCGAGUAUUCUCGCGGGCAUGCCUGUCCGAGCGUCAUUUCAACCCUCAGGGCCCGCCUGCUUCGGCAGGCGCGGCGCUGGUGUUGGGGAUCGGCCUAACCGCCGUCCCCCAAAUACAGUGGCGGUCUCGCUGCAGCCUCCCCUGCGUAGUAGCAACACUCGCAUGCGGAGCGCGGCGCGGCCACGCCGUAAAACCCCCGACUUUCUGAACGUUGACCUCGGAUCAGGUAGGAAUACCCGCUGAACUUAAGCAUAUCAAUAAGCGGAGGA